GCUGGGUGUGGUGGCCCACACCUGUAAUCCCAGCUACUUGGGAGGCUGAGGCAGGAGAAUCACUUGAAUCCGGGAGGUGGAGGUUGCAGUGAGCCGGGAUCGCACCACUGCACUCCAGCCUGGGUGACAGAGUGAGACUCUGUCUCCA
ensembl:misc_RNA Metazoa_SRP Metazoan signal recognition particle RNA